AUUUCUGCUCGAGGCUUUGAGGCGUCAUUUUGACUCGAAGUUUAGGAAAGUACACAUCAAAGUUAGCACAAAACUUCGCUUUUAUAAAACGUUUUGGAAAUAGAAUCGUUAUACCAUGCAGAGCGAAAGGUCAGUAUUAAAUUUAGCUAGUUUUUAAACGUUUUUGAGUUGUUCUUGUUAAGUUAUUGCUGUUUUUAAAACACGUGUCUAUAUUCAUUGUAGUACACGCAUUGAAUUUGAUUCCCAUUCAAGCCGCUUCGUUUCAGCGCUCAGUCGCUUUAUUAUCUCAGUGUUUCUCCUUAAUAUGCUAGCAGUAAUGUUCAGAAAUGCCCCAGCUUUGGUUCAUUUAACUCAUAUUUAGUUUAUCUGCAAUUUCAGGGCGAAAAUUUGAAGAGAAAAUGAACUAAUUUAAGUCGCCGACAUGGUCGAAAUGCCGAAGCACAUGGUAAGCAUAUAAUGUCCAUUAAAGACGUUUCCUUGUUUUGUUUCUCGUUUUUAAGCUUCCCCUAUACACUUAGAAUGUCUUCUAGCAUUGCUUUGUAGCCUUAUGAACACUCUGAGUCAACUUUAGUUACAAUAUUGGUGAAACUUUUGUCCAUACCGAACGAAUUGCCAACUUAUUUUAGGCAUGUUCAAUUUCAAAGACAGGCGUGGCAUAUCAUUUUCGAACAUUUUAGCUUUUACAAACUGGUCGUUUAUGUACAAAUUGUUCUCUGAGAGGGAAGGCUAAGCUUUUUGAGUUUAUUGAGGUUGUCUAAGUUGAAUUUCAUCCCAUAUUUUCACGAAAUUUAGAGAUGAAAUGUCCUCGUGGUUCAUGCCGUAAAUUUAUGCAUACAUGCACGCAUUCUUUAAAAUUAAAAUAUUGAAUUGAAUAACCGUACCCUGUGGUCAAUAAACGACAUUGAAUAACUCUUAGUUGUUUUGAAACUAAAAAUUAAUUGUCAAAUUACUUUUUAGACUGCUUCAAAGUCGAUCAUUUCAAAGGCAAACAGUACAGAAAGACCUAUGCACAGAUUUGAACAGGCGCUCGCCUAACAAUCGAAGCAAAACGAGAAAGACGAAAAGACAAAGGACAAAUGAAACCAGCCACCAGCUCGAUUCCUUCGCGAACCCACAGCAUUCAUUGUCAGAUUUCGCUUGUGCAAAGUUUGGAAGAGAUUGCCACUCAUCCAGAGACUGUAAGUGUAACGAAGGCAUAUAAUAACAUACUCGAACUGUCUGUGUCAGCGUAGAUAGUGAUAAUGAUACCAAAAAGCUCCAGGUUGAGAGGAAUUCAUACAACUACCUGAAAAAUACGAGAAAAACUUAACAUGCAGAUAGCCUGGCAGUGACGAACCGCUCGAAAGCAGAUACACCCAGUAUCACUGAUCAUCAUUAGAUUUCGUUCAAUCAGCCAAUUGUGAAUGAGAAGACAAUCAGCCUAUAUUGUCAAGACAUGGCAAGCGUCGUUAAAGAUGUUGUAUACAUUUCGUGAUUCUCGUUGUGCGUGUUCGAAAGUAUACGUGGGACGCCACCCUGAAGACGCCCAAAUGCACAAAACAAAUUUGAAUAUGGCACAUUUUCCUUAAUUUCGCAAUUUAUUUAAAUUUUCUACAUUUCUUGGUAUUUGUGAAAAGCUCUUAACGAAAUCGAAAUGUUUGAAAUUCGGAAGUUUCUAUCUGGGAGUUUGUUUAUGUGAAAGAUAUUUGAAAUGAAAUUUUGAAGUUUACAUCACUUUGAUAUUUGGUUUAAACGCUAGGUAAAAUCAUGCCAGAGGAGUGGUCGACCAUUCGUCGAAGUUUGGUGAUACUUCCGCUCGGACUUUCCCGACCUACAGUCGAGUUGCUCUGAUCGAUUUUCGUGAUCAACUAGCACAGGUGCAAGGUCUGGCCAACCUUACAUCAGUGCUUUUUGUUCGUUGCAUGAGAUUGGGACAGCUCGCCUGUAGGCCUGGAAAGAUCAAGCCGAAGCACGACCAAACUUUGAUUUGUGGCCGGCUUUUUGUCUGUAUCCAGCAUUUUUCCGUUAUCACUUUGAUGUAGACUUUGGGAUUUUGGCUUGAAUAUUUUUAAUAUAAACAUUCUUUGAGGUUUAAUCUUUCAAGAAUUUCAUUGUUUUUGACUAGUUAAUGUGUUUCUCGUAGAUACUAUAAUUGCAUUAAAAAUAUUGACCAAAAAAUUUAAAACUGACCAAAACAUCAUUUGAGGUGUCGGAUGGGAGGGUCCAGUGGGCGUCGUAGCGGAUACCAAUGGAUAAAUACGGAUUACUGUGACACUGUACUAUUGAAGAUAUUGUGAACAUUUAUGGAUAAUUGUGAACAUUAAUGGUUACAACGAACACUUAUGGAUUAUUAUGAACAUUGUGGAUAAAAUGUACCUCGCCAUCGACGGUUACCUACCAAUGUACCUUGACAACGAUAGCUACACAACAGCAACAAGAUGACUGCCUCAAGGUUAGAAGGUUUAGUCUGAUAACAAGCAGUUGUUAGCUUGUUAUCAGGCAGUAGUUAGCCUGCUAUCAGCAGAAGUUAGCCUGCUAACAGGCAGUAUAUCUGUAGGAUUUAUACCCAGGACUCUAAUUUGCAUGUGGUCGGUGGAGUCUCUGGGUUAACCGGUUUAAAAUUCCUGGCGGUCUGUCGUUGGUAGUACAUCUGCACGCAAGGUUGAUUUUUAUUCAGAUGUUUGCAUGCUAAUAAAAAUUGAGGUACAAUUUUGACCUCAGUUAAUCAGAAUUUCGACAUCAUCAGCAAUAGAAAAUCAAUCUUAAAGAGGUUAACAUUUGAGCUUUCGGUCACGUGGUUCGUUGCAUGCACUCGGUUCGGUUAUUGGUGGGUUUCAGUAAGUGUUACAAUCCAAAAGAUGGUCAAUAUCAGAAAUGUUGGCACUUCCUGGAGCAAUUUAUUUGCUUCAAAUACAAGACUACUACAUAAAGUGAAAAAGAGUGAACAUUAUUUUUUCACUCUAGUAACUCGUAGUGAGACCCACUAGGUAUUUGCGGUCUGUUCGUGCCAAUGUUGUUCUCUUUGUGUAAAUGUACUGCUUAGGUGUGUCUGUGCAUGAUCAACGCAGCGCGCAGCUAGGUAUCCAGAAUAUAGGCAGACAAGUAAAACCUUGCCAUACUUAAAAAUUUUGUUUAUAUCGAUAUGUUAUGUUCAUAAAUGUACAGAAAUAUCAUGAAAUGUGUUAGGCUUUGGCUUGGGGUUAAAUCUAACCCUAUAACCUUAACCUUAAUCCAUUACAUGAUCUGUAUAUUUGUGAACGUAAUAUAUGGGUGUUGCCAAAAUUUUGUUGAAAAGCUGGCAUAGUUUUCCUUCGGUAGGAUAACUAAACUGGGUGCAAAUGGUAUCCAUAGCUUAGAGGGUGCAAAUGGUACCCGUAAGAAGAUUGGUGGAUAUCGUUGUGGACAAGAUUUACCGGGUACUCCGGUUUCCAACUACAAAAAGAUCAGCUUAGGACUGUAAUGACAUAAUUAUUGUAAUGAUAAACAGUCUAGGCUUUCGUGAAUAAUAAAUUGCGUUAAAUUGUCGUGGUAAGGUGUAUCUUUCAUCGCCCGUAGUGCAUGUAUAUCGCUGGUUUCGAACGUUAGUUUUCUGCCCCGGGUUAUAUGAAAACAAUUCGCUACCAGAGAUUAGGUCCCCUCUCUGUUACGGCGGCUCAACGACUUCAUGGAAGACAUUAACAUAAGGCAUGCUAAUCUUACCCCUGUUUGUGGACGCUCACCAGGUGCGAUGGCACACUAGGUUAAGUUAAGCUAGGGGCAUGACCGAGACUACACAUUCAGGGGUUUCCCUUGCAGGUGUUUGAAAGAUUAUAUGCGCGCGCACUAGUUAGAAAGGUUAGGCAGCUAGAAAUCAGGCGCAUUUGCUUCAAUGGCAUGUAUACUAUAAGGCAUGUAUACUAUAUAAUUCAUUAUUAUAAUGAUUUUGCGCCAGUAACUUUCUGCAAAGUAUUUAACACACAGGAAAAUGAAAUCUGUUUUCCUGCUGAAAAAUACUUACAGAGCCAAAUCAAAGUGGAAAAAAAGAAAAUAUUGCGAAAGAAAAAAAGAAAACCGCGAAACCACUUUGAAUAUAAGCCACAAUAGUCCAAGAAUACUCGUUGCAGAAAAAAACAACAAAAAAGAAACAAUUUUCUGCCCAAAAUAUCUUGGAUUACGGGCUUAACGAUAAGAAACGUAGUUCUCACUCCAAAGUGGAGAAUAGGCUCGUUUCUUUAGGUUGCUAAUGCAUUGCGCGCGCGCUUUAAAAAUUGUACUAUAAGUUUAAAGUUGAAAAGACCGCCAGGGAAAAUAGAGUGUUUUCGUGUGUUGCUUUGUUGACGGACAAGUAUUUUAAAAUGAUGGUUUACUUGUAUUUCGGCACUUAACUUGUUCCAAAACAUAGCCGCCGUGAAAAGACUCUGCAGAUCAAGUUUAUAUAUCGUCGCAAUAGCAAUAUAGAAUGUUUGCCAUGUUGCAUUCCGUGUUGUCUUGCAUUGUUCAUACAUAAGCUUGGUCGAACCAUGGAUCAUAAAACACCAUGGUUGCGCGCAGCUAAUUAACAUAAGCGGCGCGCGCGUGCUGCUGUAAUGCGGAGUACAGUCGGUGAGUGUACUCCAUGUGCAAAUAGUGACGUGUGCUCUAUAUAGUCUAAAAUUGAAAAAAAAUUAAGGUGCAUGUUGAUCAGAAUAAAGUGCGCAAAGUUUCAUGCAUAUUAAAAUUAAAUGCGCCCAGUUGCAUGCUAAGUAAAACUAAGGGCAUGAAAACCAGUGCAUGCUUAAUUUAAAUUGAGUGCGCGCGUUGCAAUUUUCGUGCGCGCAUGCAAUAAAAGCAAAAUGCGCCAUAAAUGUAAAUAUAGAAAUGCACCCAUCACAUCUUCAAAAUGCAUCCAAGUGUCCUAACAGCUUUUACAAACUAUCUUAAAAUAUGUUGGGCCAUUGGAUUCAUUUGCCACGCACCUUGUCCUGAACAUAUCUGAAAUAUUUUCAGGUUUCAAGGUUCAGAUAAAUAUACCCUUAUGUGGAACAAUUUGUUCAUAAAAAGAGAUAUAUUUGUCUUGCGCAAUCUGUAGACCGAAUUUUCGGGUGGUCUACAAUUUUUUUUGAACAUCUCGUGAGAUUUUUUGUUAAAUUCGUUGAUUUUGUUAAAUUAAAAUUUAUUAGUUAGAUGAUGUACAAAUAGGUAUGAUGUAAAUAGAUGUAGAUUAGUAAGAUUUUAUAUUUAAUGAAUGAUGUAAAUAAAUAGAAUAUAUAUGCUUUUUAUAUCAUUAUAUUGUAAACACAUUGUAAAUUAUGUGUCAAUAACCAUUACCAUUUUUUUUGUAAGAUUUUUUACUUUUCUGGGUUUUGGUAUCGCCCCCAGGGUUUUUCAGCAUCCGGACUCGUAAUCGCCAAGGUUUUUCACCAGAUCUUGCCAUCGACAGCUAGCUGUCCAUGGCACCUCUGGUUUUCCUCGGGCGAUUAUGUAUUUUUCGUUUGGCAAAAUAUUUAAAAAUUCCAAAACAAAAAACAGUGUCCGUGUUUGGGACGAAUUCAGUACUGUGCAGAAAAAAUGGAUUAUAUAGCCGUUGAGGUGCAUGUCUCUUU
rnacentral:lncRNA from 1 species